GCAUCCACUGGGGUCUUGGAAUGUAUCCCCCAUGGAGAAGAGGGGACUACUGUACUUAAUGCUACUGAACUUAAAAAUGGUUAAAAUGGUCAUGAACAACACUGAAGAAACGUCAAAGUGAACCAAAUCAUUGUUUUUAUUUUACAAAGGCAGAAAAUGAAACACCACUAGGAUUUUCAUUAAGCCAACUCAUACCCAGUUUCUACAAAUGAAAACCAAGUCAAUCAUCUAAAAUUUCAUGAUUUCUUCCCAUCAAGAGGAUCUGGAGUCUUCUGUUCCCAUUAAAACUGAAUUUAUGGCAGUGCAAACCUGGGCCAGACUGGGUAUAAAAUGACAAAAGCAUAUUUAUAUUCUUAAAAAUUUCUGCAGAUUGCAUAGAAAGUUCUCAGAUUUGUGGCUGGGCGCAGUGGCUCAUGCCUGUAAUCCCAGCACUUUGGGAGGCCGAGGCGGGCGGAUCACAAGGUCAGGAGAUCGAGACCAUCUUGGCUAACACGGUGAAACCCCGUCUCUACU
rnacentral:lncRNA from 1 species